CUUCUCUUCUCUUUUCUUCAAUCGCCUCCAUCUCUAAUUUUCUCUCUAAGUCUCUAGACUUCUCACCAAGGCCAAUUCCGAGCUCUCCUCUCACCAGAAGAAUAUCUUCAAGGUCGACGACCACAUCGGCGUCGCCAUUGCCGAACUAUCCGUCGACGGCCAUGUUCUCUCUCGGUACAUGCAAACUGAGGCCUUUAAUCACUCCUUCACUUACGAGUCUCCUCUCCCCAUUGGCCAACUCGUCGUUCAACUCACAGAUAAGGCUCUUAGAUGAAGAUGGGGCAAAGUUUGUGGAAUUGUCUAAAAAUGCAAAUGUUGUUCCACUCUAUUGAUGCAUAUUCUCUAAUCAUCUUACUCUGGUUCUAGCAUAUCAGUGCUUGGUUGAGAAGACAAUUGAGAGGCUCCAAGUUUUCUUUUUGAGUCAAUGUAGCCACAUCCUGUUGUUUCUAGAAUUGGAGGGUAUAGUGUAGUUGGAGCUCAACCAACAAUGGAAAUUGUUGCAAAAGAAAACAAGGUAACGAUAAUGGACCAUGAGGAAAGGAGUUUGACUAAAGAGUUGGUUGAAGAUCCAAUGGUGAUUACUAGAAGAAUCUCAAAGGGCUGGAAACCUCAACUUAUUGAUGAACUCCUAGACACAUUCUAUGAUAAGAAAACUUUGUUGUUGACCUAUACAUGUUUCUUAAUAAAAUCUUGUUAGGUAUGCUUGGAUAUCAUAACUUCAUGAGUUAUUUAAAUUUGGCUCUUGAGUCUUGACCA